rnacentral:misc_RNA from 1 species
GUAGGUGAACCUGCGGAAGGAUCAUUACCUGGCCUUGGGCCGCUCGCGGGGGCUCGUCGCUUGCGACGGUGCUCUCGGGGGUGCUUAGCCCUUGAUCAUUACCUUGAUUAUACGCACCUUCGUUGUUCCCUCGGCAGCUCGCUGCCGCCAGGGACCCGUAAACCCUUUUGUAUAAGCAUCAAACCUCUGAGAACAAAUUUUAAUUAUUUACAACUUUUAACAAUGGAUCUCUUGGUUCUG